rnacentral:rRNA from 1 species
GACGAACGCUGGCGGCGUGCUUAACACAUGCAAGUCGUACGGUAAGGCCCUUUCGGGGGUACACGAGUGGCGAACGGGUGAGUAACACGUGAGUAACCUGCCCACAACUUUGGGAUAACGCUAGGAAACUGGUGCUAAUACUGGAUAUGUGCUCCUGCUGCAUGGUGGGGGUUGGAAAGCUCCGGCGGUUGUGGAUGGACUCGCGGCCUAUCAGCUUGUUGGUGGGGUAGUGGCCUACCAAGGCGGCGACGGGUAGCCGGCCUGAGAGGGUGACCGGCCACAGUGGGACUGAGAUACGGCCCAGACUCCGACGGGAGGCAGCAGGGGGGAAUAUUGCACAAUGGGCGCAAGCCUGAUGCAGCAACGCCGCGUGCGGGAUGACGGCCUUCGGGUUGUAAACCGCUUUCAGCAGGGACGAAGCUUUUUGUGACGGUACCUGCAGAAGAAGCACCGGCUAACUACGUG